rnacentral:lncRNA from 1 species
GCGCGGUUUCCUCCCUCGCGAUCCUUCCUCGUGAUCGCGCACCCAGCUCACCUCACCAGCAAAGCGCGGUUUCCUCCCUGGCAAUACUUCCUCGGGAUCGUGCACCCGUUUCACCUCACCAACAAAGCGCGGUUUCCUCCCUCGCCAUCCUUCCUCAUGGUCGCGCACCCGGCUCACCUCAAGAACAAAGCGCGGUUUCCUCCCUGGCAAUACUUCCUCGGGAUCGUGCACGCGGUUCACCUCACCAACAAAGCGCGGUUUCCUCCCUCGCCAUCCUUCCUCGUGGUCGCGCACCCGGCUCACCUCAAGAACAAAGCGCGGUUUCCUCCCUCGCCAUCCUUCCUUAUGGUCGCGCACCCGGCUCACCUCAACAACAAAGCGCGGUUUCCUCCCUCGCCAUCCUUCCUCGUGGUCGCGCACCCGGUUGGAUUUCACAGUCAUGGAAGUUCUGCUUUAAAAUCCGUUUCUGAAGAAGUGUUAAUGUAUAAGAAAAACAGCAGACGAACACCAGGUGAGGGAGAGUGUAUUAAACACCUGGACGGUACUCCGCAAAUAUGACACAGUCACCAAAGACAAGUUUGAGAAUCUGUCUCAGACAAGAUCUUGACACUGCUGACCAGGGACAAAAUGUCCCAUUGACAGUCAUGCUCUGGAGCAGGAUGGGCAGUGAGAGACCAGAGACCACAGGAUGGGGGAAACACAAAUGCUGACCUCAAGGAGAAGCUGAAGCCAAGAGUAUUAAUCACAGUGGUGAAGAUAAGAAAGAUGACCCCAAGUAAGAAAGCCCAGAAAGGCACUUGCUGUUGACUCCCUCAGAAAGAACACCACGAAAGACCAUGGAUCAUGUAAAUAAGAAGAAGAAAGAAAGUAAGGAAGAAACACCAUACCUUGUUGAGAGCUGUAAAUGGUAUGAUAUUUUACUCCAUGUGGAGCUAACAAACUAGCCUGUCACAACUUCAAGGAUGCUGUCGGAAGACACAAGAUUCCUGGGUCAGAGCCAAAGGACCGUAUCAACGAUGGCAGUGCCUGGGCAUCCCACAUGUGUGUUUAUUCUCCUUGCCCAGAAAAAUGGUGUGGAACGCCCUCGAUGAAACGUGUACACAGUGGGUUGCAUGACAGGAGAAAAUCUCAGAGACUUAGGAACCCAAAUAUGUUAUUGUGAGCAGUGAGCAUUGCUGCCCUUGGCUCCCCG